CACACCUCGCUCCCCGCCGCGGCCCGGCAGCCGCCAAAGGUCUUGUGACCCGCCGGGCUGCGCCAGCCGCCCCGGGAGCCCCCCCCGCCCCCCCGCCGGCCGGCGGGACAAGGGGACGGCGGCGGCACGGCCCCGCCGGGGGGGCUGCGGCCCCCGGAGCGGGCUGCCCAAGCUGGGCCGGGACCCGCCGUGCAAAACCCACGCACGCACGCUGCCCCGCUCCCCCCCGCGCCGCUAACGCGACGUGGGAACGGCGGCGGCGGAGGCGGCAGCGGCUCUGCACCCCCCCAGUCCCUGGCCUCUCCGGCGUUUGCUCAGCCCCGGGACAAAUGGAAGGGAAAAAUGGACGGACGUGUAAAGUUUUAUUGCUGCUAAAGCCCGCGGAGGCGUUUGAUCCUCUUUCCCUGCCGAGCCGGGCUGUCAGGCCCUGGGAACCCAAGGGUGCAAAUCUGACCACGUCAGCAGGAACCCUGCACUUUGAAAGCGCAUUUGCAAAGGAAAGCAACUUCGGAACCGUGGGGGGGGGGGUGUUACCAGAGCACUUCGCUUCGGGUUUUCACACUCGUGUGUGUCGUCGCUCACCACCACCCCCCCCCCCCGCCUCCCUCCGGCCGUCGCCAUGCGGCUCACGGUCACAUUUGGUUCCUUCCCUCCUCCUCCUCCCCCGAGGCUGCGGGGGGACAGCGGGCGGUACCCGCCGGGCGCACCCCCAGCUGCUGCAUACCCCCCUCCCCCCCCCUCCCCCCCAAUCCCCUGGAAGUGCCCGUGAGCCGUCACCCCCGGAGGCACAAACCCGGCCUAGUUAGGGCUGAGCUUAGCCGCAGAGACCGAAAAAAACCGCCCGGGAAAGACGAAGAGUUGAAGGAUAAAAAGCCCCAACCUCCCCCCUUCGCGCUCCCCGCCACUUCGCCCCGGCACGUCCCCCCCCCCCCCCCCCGCCCCGGGUCCGCGGGCGCUUUGGGGAGCGGCGCUGCCGCCCCGCCCCGCCCCCCCGCCCCGCCCCCCCCGGGCCGCCCGCCGCGGCGGGAGGCGGCUGCGCGGGGAUCUGCCACCCCCUAGUGCCGGUGCCGCUUCCCCGGGGGCUGCCAAAAAAAAAACCAAAAAAACAAACAAAAAAAAAACGUAAAUUCCAUUCCCGUCGUCCGGCCGGGCAGCAAGGCGCUGCCCGCACACCCCCCGCCGCCCCCCCCCCCCCGGGGAAGGCACCCGAAAGCGGGGCGGCUCGCCAUAACGCGCAUCAUCUUCUCCCAUCACCUCCCGUCCGGCCCACUCGGGAUGCGCUCGAGUCGUGACCCGCCAGCACCCUCUUCCUCCUCCCAACCACCUCGGUGAUGAGAACAUCACCCUCGGAGCAGACCCUGCCCGCUAGUGAGCCAGCAGUUCGUGAUGGUGAUCACGCGAGGAGCAACGUGUCACUGUCGUUUGGAGGAAUACUUCGUAGCGACUUCAUCCCGUGCAGUUUUCAGAUGUCCACUAAACCUAAUUCGGAAGCUUACCUUGGUUUACGGCAGAUCUUAUUUAAACUCAAGCAGCGGGAGGCGAUCGGCUCAGCCUGACCCUGGUGAGGUAAAACCGGCCCUUGGCGGGACUAAACCCGACCCCGCUGAGGUUAAACCAGCCCCUGGCAGGGCUGAGCCCGGCCUGGCCGCGCGUGGCGCGCACGGCGGUGCCGCAGCGCCACCUAAUGGGCGCGCGCGGCAGCACGCGGAGCGUCGGCCGGACCCCGUCACCGGCACCGUCACCGCCAGCGUCACCAGCCACGGCCCCGCUCUGCCAACGGACCAGCACGUGAGGCGGCUGAACGCCAACCGCCGCCUACGGGGCUUGUCGCUGCCCCCGGGGCACCGCGCCUGCGCCGCGUGCCCGCGCGCUCCCGCCCAACGCAGCGUCCCGGCCCCGGGCGGGCGGCGGGGAACGGGCCCUUCUUCUGUCAACCCGCGUUCUCCUCGUCUCGGUUUCCCCCGGAGCCCCCCUUGCGGUUCCCAGGGGCACGCGCCGGCGGGGCACGGCCACCGUUUUGCGUGUUCCGGGCCGUGGCGCGGCCCCACGCCGCCCCCCCCCGCCCCGGCAGGAUUUGGGGGCCGAGGGGGGCCUCGCCUUCCAGAGCUGCUUGCAGAGCAAGGCGUUUCGAAGGGAAGACGAAACGGGUUUGUUUGCAGUGGAACCGCUGCUUUGUUUUGAACGCAGCGGUCUUCUUUUUAGAGCGAUUUUAUAACGGUAGUUAUUUGAUUUGCAGGGGAGAAAAAGAGGGAGGCGGAAGUUUAACUAAUGCUGCCUCCAUGUGCAAAACAAGGUCACAACCAAAGAGAAUCCUUGCCUUCCUCCAGAGGAAAACGCAGCAGAAUUUAAAACGUAGUCUAAAAACUGUCAUGGACAAACAAGCCAAGUUUUGGAAAAUUCUGGAGUCGGAGGUAGCGCUCUAAGAAGGUGUCCAACAAGCUGGGCUUGGUCCAGUGCUAUUCUUGAUAGCCGAUUAAGUUCUCCAUGAUCUGGUAAAGUCAGGGGGAAUGCAGGAAGAGGACUGGAGAAUGAGAGCUAAUGAACAAGCCCCUGUAAAAUCCCUAUUACUGCAAAAUGGAUCUUGUCAAAUUUCAUCCUUUUCCAUAGUCAACAGCAAAUGAACAACUGUUCAGUGAAUGGUCUGUCUUCUAAGUAGUGAUAAGGACAUGUUAUUCUUGAAGGCUGUCUUUUGUGAGCAGACAACACAGCAGACUCGGAAUUAUUUGGUAAAAAAUCCAUACAGACAUGGAAGGCACACCCUAUUUUUUUUUUGUCUGAGUGUAUUUAAGUGUUUCUCAUGAAGGAAAACGAUUCCUGGCAUAAAAGAGGCGCAGCAGUGCAGCUGAGACCUGUCCUUCACGACCCACGUUGAGUUGCAGCGUGGACCUCUGUCCCGUGACACCUCCCGAGGCCGCACGCCAGCUGCAGGUUUUCUAGAGCACGUUGGCACAGCAGAGAAACGUACAGUAAAACACCAGGACUGGGCAAAUACGCAUGCCAACGAGUAAGGGAGCGCAGGAAACUACUAAGGGCAAAACAGACAGGCGGAAAGAUGGGUACCUGGUAUUUGACAGACCAGGCGAUGUACUGAGGGCACUGGGGAGGAUGAAUUAGUAUUUGAGACCAAGAGAACAAAGGACUGUAAUAAGGAAGGGAGUGAAGGAGAAAGAACAGAUGGUCUCUUUUUAUCUUGGAGUUAGAUGAGGGUAAAUGGAAAUCUCCUUGAACAAGCAAGCAGGAAGACAGGCAGUCAAUCUCUUGGUGACACUAAUAAUGUUACAUACGCUGUUUGUCUCUGCUAGACAGUGAAAUCAAAUGUUCAGAUCUGUUUUCUUCAUGUCAGGACUUAGCACUGUAUCUGGACAUCCCUCAGCUUUGUCCAUGAGGGACAGCCUGCAGGGGUGCUGCGUGACAUUCCCACACCAUUUAUUGUAGGUACUGUUUUUUUUAGGUAUUGCUUUUGCUGAUACUUCUUUCCAGGAUUUUAAAAAAACAAAACAAAAAAAAAUCACAACUUGCUUUGUUGCUGUGCCCUACUUGGUACCAUUCUGAUACUCUAAAAUGUUGGUACAGUGGUUGUCCUCUGUUUUGAUUUGCUUAGGCUCAGGUAGAACACAGUUUCAUUCAAGUCCCAUGGGACAUCAGAAGUACUGGCAAUCCUCAGAGCUGGAAGAAUAGAAAUGAAAGCAAAGUGUGGGGUUCUGCGCCUGAAGCAAACAUCCUGGUUAGGAAUAUUUACAAAGUGCAACAUCUUAAACACAGCUCUUUUGAAUUCUGAUGAUCCUUUAGAGUCUUAUGGAUGAUAACAGAAUGCCUGCUAUUGUUAAUAUUUAUAGAAUGUCUCUUGCUUGUGUCACUUUAUUUGUAUUUGAAUAUUUAGCAAAUGAAGUGAUGCUGGGAGCUAAAAACCAAACGUUAUUUCCCACUGCUGUGUUCCUGAAGUUAGCUGUUGCUUCAGAGCACUGAUUAUAGAUACAACCGCAGAUAUUUAAAAUACCUGCCAUUUUCCGGGGCCUUUUUCCUUUUUAAGAUUUAGACUUCGUACAUGUAAGUAUGGUGAUGCUGUUUGGGAAUGAGGACACUGGACUUCUGAGAAAUGCACCAAAACAUAUAUAGGGGCCUCUCAUUCCGUUAUUACGUGAACAUGCUGAAAACUACCAAGAGGUAGCAAAACAAGUAACGCUGAGGUACUGCUUAGAUUGAAUUCACUUAGUAGCAGUUUUUCAACAGCAUGACAGAGGAGGAGGCAGUUUUGUGGUCACACAGCACAGCAAUCUUGAAGGGAAUCCUUGUGUCACAACAAAGGAAAUGGUUAAGUUUUUUUUUUGUGUUGUGGGUUUGUUUUGUUUUUGUUUUUUUUUUUUUUUUUCAGAAAGGAGAAGAGAAAAAAAUUACAAGAAAAACAUGUAAAGGAGGUCUAACACACAGGAAAAACAUGAAGACCCUGAACACAGUACCGACCCAAAAGACACCGACCACCCUUCUGUGAACUGUGGACACCAUUUAACUGAUUAACCAAACUCAUGCAUCAGUUCUGCUGUUGAGACCAGAGAAAAACAAAGCAACAUCAAUUUGAUAAUGCUGAAACAUUGUCUUCAAACAUUUGGGAACUGCUCCCUGCAUCAUCAUUUGCCUGCAAAACAGAGCUGAUUUUCAAGAAGCCACAUAUUACACAAGAUGCUGUGUUCAUGACUCAUGCUAUGACUUCAGAAAGUAGUCUGAGCAAGCUGGAAGUUCACCAGGGGCAAAAAGGGCAGGUGGCUCUCCUCUCCCCGCAGCCCCUCGGGCCAUGGGCUCCCCACGCUUACCUCCAGCCAGCUCGGGCACUCUGCUGAUCACCUGGUAAACUAACACUCAGAAUAGCAGAACGUGAACUUGGCACGCAACUCGGCGUGUGGGCUCUUCUGCUCAGCUGGCAAGCUGAGCUGGUUACCCUGCAGUCAGAACUGGUCCUGCUGGGAGCUGGGGAAGGGAAGAUCAGAGGGCAGUGGGGGCAAGGAACGAGGCCCAAGGGAGAGCGAGACCUCCCUGUUCAGCAAGCUGUUAGCUCUGGUCAGCUAUAAUCCAGAACUUCCCCAUCAGAGUCAUGUAAGCAAAAUACUAACAGAGAUGAUUCAAAUGACUAAGUAUUAAUAGCCUUUCAUAACAUAAGUAACUAUUUAAAGUAACUGAAUAAAAAAAUUCAAAUGACAGAUUUCUAGAAGCUGCUCACAGCUGAUUACUGCCACUGGAACUAAACCAGCAGGAACUGAACCUGAAGACAUAGCUAUUACCAAACACUGAAAAUACAGUAGUGCUCCUACCACAACAGUACUAACGUACUAUCAAAACUGUUAAAAUUAUAUUUUUUUUAAAAAUUCUAAACCAUGUAUAUGUUCCAACAUGCAAAAACAUCAUGAGCAAGAUAAGCAUCUUCCUAAAUAAGCCACUAUAGUGGCUGAAAUACAAAAAAUUCUCUAUGCCUUGAACAAGUAGUUACAAGCAGAAGAAUUAAUACUACUCCUUGAAAUGAAAAACAAAAGAUAAGAAUCAGGUACUACAUGCUUUUUUCAUUUUGAGGAAUUGCAUUUUCGUAAAGGGAAAGGAGUUAAAUACUGCAGUGUUUUAGUCUUUGUGAAUCCACCCACAUAAAAAUUAGACCUCCCACAUACACAUUCAUAUACUCCAAAAGCUUUGAUCAUGCCAGAUGUAAAUAUUUCUUCUAGUAGCCUAUUACAUAUCCUCCAACUAUACAAUUGUUCUCUGUUAAAGCCUCAGUGAUAUUAUGGGGAACUGAAAGGAUAUAUUAAAAGUAUAUACACAGAUUUUAAGGACAACCAUGACAAAAUACAGGCAAAAUAGAAAACCAGAAUGUAUUCCCUGCCUAACAAAGUAUUUUGUAAUUGAUUUUAUACUGGAAUUUUAGAUUGAGGAGUAAUGCAAUUUUUAUAAAUGUGUACUGUGUUCAGAACAAACAGAGAAGUACAGCUGCAAGGAAGCUUAGUGUAGCAGUCCUGAGAGUAAGCCUCACAAAGAACAGUGCACCAACAGCAAGGAUGUUUUCAAGGAAAACAUACAGGCUAAGUUCUCCAAAAGAAAUUACAGAAAGUAUUUUAGGUAGACCAGGUAUACUCUAAAUUGGUAAAAUAUUUUUUACUUUUUUGCACAAAGUGCUGCCUACUUAGGUAUAAACAUGACUACAUCACUAUCAGUACAGUACCUCAUAACACCCUGGUAAAAUAAGGUAAUAUUUGUGCUUCAGAGACAAGCAUGGGCAUUUAAAUCAACAAAGCUCACUGAAUGAAGGCUUGACAAAACUGGAGAUUUAUCUCAGGUAUUCUGAUAGAUCACCUUAACAAGAUGAAGAAUAUUCAAGCAAGAGAUCAGGUUCCCAUACAAAUGAUGUCAGAUCCAGCAUCACAGUCACUAAUAUCUGUAAUACUAGAUCUGCAAAUGGAAAAUUUCACCUAUCAGAUCACUAAUCACUGUUUGUCACACUGAAGGUUUUAUUUUUUUUGUUAAGUUUGCCCCUAUUCUUGACAUAGCAAAUAUAAGAGAACUGAGUGAAGCAUUGCUACACAUAUUAUUUUUACUUAAAAUUACCUAAAAAUGACUUAAAAUACCAUGUUCAUGUAUGCACAGGCUUCACAAAACUUUAAGAGCCUUCAAAUUUAAAAAAGAAAAAAAAUCCCACUGGCCCAACCCAAGAGUUACAUAAACUGGUAAAGUGAGGUUAGAAAUUGAAUUUCUUAUGUUGAAAUAACCUGCUUAGAUGUUUUACUUUAAGCCAGACAGGAAUUGUGCAACUCCACAGCAAGGCAACACACGGGUGUCUUGUCACCAGAAAAACAACAGGGCAGAACAAAAGCAGUAGCAGUAGAUAGGAAGUAAACGGGUGUUCAUACCCCCUCAGUCUCCACAAAUAAUGUUACGGCGCUAUCAUCCUUCUGGGCACUAAGAUUAAAGGAAGGAAGACAGCCAAGAAGUAAAACAAACAAACAAAAAAAAAAUUAUGCAGAAAUGGUAACUGUUGCGUCCGGAGAGUUGGCAGAUGGCUCUUGGAAAGGGUGCUUGUUCAUUGCACUGUGUCAAUUUCAGUUACAAACAUCAAACUUUCCACUUUUAAAAAUGACCGUUUCUGUAAAAUCUAAUACAUAAGCAGAUUCCUUUUUAUAGUGUUUCAUAAAAUCAAAGGCGAUUAGAUCAUUUCUAUCCUCUCGAGAAAUAUCAUUCCCUAGAUGACGUACAGCUACUUCAUCUGUUUUCCAUUUCCCUGCCUGACUCCGUUGCAUAGCCGUGCUUUUUCAGGAUGACUUUGAAAAGAGGCCCUUCCUGACAUCAUGCAACACGAUGUCAAAACACAACACUAUUACAAUCCAAACUAAUCAAAACUAAUUUCUUAAUAGAUGCAGUCUCUGAGUAGAGUAGCAGUGACGCUGCUCUCAGCUUUGACUUUGAUUAUAAACAGAUCUGAGUUAAUAACAUGUCCGAUUAUGACAGAAACUUACAGCUCAGGACUGAGCAGAAAAUUAAGAGUACCUUCUUGAAUUUUUGCAAUGUGAACAGAACAAUAUUUUUCAACUCAGUAAAUAUUUCUGGUUUUCCUUUUAAAUAUAUAUAUAUGUGCAUACAUAAGCUUUUCCCAUGGAAGCCAUGCCUCCUGUACACGAAGGGUUUUAUUACAGAACAACCACAGCUCACAGAUCUGUCAGAGGAAAUGAGCAUUUGGACUUUACCACUUGCACUACUGCUUUUGCAGAACGUCCCCCCCCAAAACCAUGUUCUAAUUUAAACAGCAAAAACACAAUACUCCCUGCAGAGACCCACAGAGCUCAUGCUUUUCCUUUUGCAAGGUAAAAAAUAUUAUUCAGCUAAUUGUUUAAAACACUGCCAGUGAGAAUGUAUGGUUUUUAACUCCUAUUACGUAAUUACUGGAAAAAUUAAGAUUAAAUACAGUUUCAAAGUUAGUAUCACUAGAACUAAAUAUAUGACUUUUGUUAUUGGCAUGUUCCAACUAAGGAGCAUUUUGCUUAGCACUGAUGAAGAUUACUGAGUGUGAAUGAGAUGUAUGUUACAGCUCUGCUGUAGGAACACAGGAGAUUAAUAGAUCUCUGUUUCAUAGCUGGAAUUUUAGAAUAAUAGCUGGAGAAUGGUGGUGAAAGGUUUGUUAUUUACAGGAUAAAGCAAUAAGUAAAGGGUGGGUAAACAGUAUAGAAGACCACACACAAAUUAUUCUCCCCACAAUAUUUGAAAACCAAUACAAUUUGGGCAGAACUCGCAAAUAUGUAAAACCUAUUUUUAAAGCAGUAAUAGAAAGGCAGACUUUCCUUCAUUGCUAUGGAGUCAUAGCCACAACCAUCACAGCUUGAAGGAGCCUAUCAAGAUCUGUAAGCUGCUAUCCUGUUUACUCACUUGCAAUUAAAAUGCUGGUAAGAAAAAAAAAAAUUAACAGAUCAUUCACAUGAACACUCCAUUUAACGUUUACCACCUUCAGACUCCAGCGCUGAGCACGUACAAUUAUUUUUCAUGUAUUCUUUCUUAAUUUUCAAGAGUAUAACAACUCAUAACCUUUACAUAACGGUGCCACUAUGUAAUUAAUAGAGCUAAAUGAACUACUGUCAGUAAUCAGUAGCUGGUCUUUGAUGGAUGAGCUGAUUCUAAUUCAGUCCAUUCCCUUUCAACUUUAAUUAGUGGCAUUGUAUUCUACAAAGCAAAUGGUUCGUUCCUCCAUGUGACGAUCUAACAUUGUGUAAGUGGUCUGAGGACAACUUGUAAGGUGUUGAAAUAAAUUUGUGAAUACAAAGUAAAAAGUCACAGUGAUUACACAUUAUUAUAUAAUGUAUUCUUUAAAAAUAAUUAAGUAAUAUAAAGCCCCCACUGCAAAAGCCACUGAUUUUAACAAUUACCAUACACACCAACAAAUCUUGCUAACACAAUUAUGAGUUUCAGUGCAGUAGUUCUCUCUCCUUUUUCUUUAAUUAAACCAAUUUAUCUGAAUUAUUAAGUGUAUGUUGGUCAAAUUUUUUGCAAGACACAAAUACAGGCAUAAAAAUGCUAUGUAUUUCUACAUGAGUACUGAUGUAACACUAUACUUAAUUUUUUUUGGAAUUAUAACCCUUGGUCUAGAUGCAUGCUUGUUGCAGCUGGUGACAACUACUAAGCAAACUUUUCACCUCUUAAUUACUGGAAUUUAAAGUAAUUUUAUAUUAUUGGAAAAUUCUCUAAUAAACAUAUAAAAAUCUGAA